GAAAUAUACCGCCUAGCCAUUUCUUGCUAGGUAAGGGUGGAAAGGUGAGGUAAGAGCUCACCAGCAGCUAGGCGACUAGCUGGCUCUGUAAACCCCAUCCGGAGCAAGACCAAGCAAGGGACUAAAAAGGCAGUGGCCCGCUGCUGUCCCAAUGGUAGGUCGCAAGAACUUAUUGGUAACAAUAAGUCAUAGAUAGAUGAUCAUCCAAGACAGAACACGGCUUAUAGAUUUACUCAUCGA
rnacentral:RNase_P_RNA from 1 species